rnacentral:rRNA from 1 species
GGAUUCCCCUAGUAACGGCGAGUGAAGCGGGAUGAGCUCAAGCUUAAAAUCUCUGUCACAAAUUUAUUUUGUGCGGCGAAUUGUAGUCUAUAGAAGCGUGGUCAGUGUAGGCGCUUGGGUUAAGUUCCUUGAAAAAGGACAGCAUCGAGGGUGAUACUCCCGUUUGUACCUAAGUGUCUUAUGCGUACGACCCGUUUUCUUUGAGUCGCGUUGUUUGAGAAUGCAGCGCAAAGUAGGUGGUAAAUUCCAUCUAAAGCUAAAUAUUGGUGCGAGACCGAUAGCGAACAAGUACCGUGAGGGAAAGAUGAAAAGAACUUUGAAAAGAGAGUUAAAGAGUACCUGAAACUGCUGAAAGGGAACCGGAUCGUUUCUAGUGUCUAUAAUCCGUGACAUAUUUCAUUGGCGGGCGUGUGCGUAUGUGUACUAUGGCAGCGGCUAAUUGGCUGCGCUUGGUGUGCGUGCUGUGUGUGCUUACUGGUGCCCUGUGUUAUGGUGGGACGUCAAGGUCAGUUCGUAUGCUGCGGGAAAUGGCUGCUGAGGAGGUAGGGCUUACGCUUGCGUUUGUCUGUUAUAUCUUGGUGGUUUUGUCGUGGUUGGGACUGAGGUGUUCUACAACGUGCUCUUGAGUAGGUCUGCGUCUCCGUGUGCACCGUGUGCAGAUAGCUUGCUAUGUGUGUGUGGUUGUGUGUGGAUUGAUGCGGGCUUGAACUUGUUGCCGUUCGGGACUUUGACGAAAUAGAGCGAUUUGACCCGUCUUGAAACACGGACCAAGGAGUCUAACAUAUGUGCAAGUGUUAGGGUGUGGAAACCCCAGCGCGAAAUUAACGUAAAGGAUAGCGUAAGCUGUCUUAGGUAGGAAACGUUGCGGAUUUCGGUCUGUGGCGUGGCACUAUCGACCGAUCAUGAACCUUCGUGGUGAAAGAUUUGAGUUUGAGCACAUAUGUUGGUACCCGAAAGAUGGUGAACUAUGCCUGAGUAGGGUGAAGCCAG